AGCGCAGGCGGUUCGGCAAGUCAUUGGUGAAAUUCUCAGGCUCAACCUGGGGGCUGCCAAUGAUACUGCCGAUCUUGAGUGUGGAAGAGGUAGAUGGAAUUCCUGGUGUAGCGGUGAAAUGCGUAGAUAUCAGGAAGAACACCGAUGGCGAAGGCAGUCUACUGGUCCAUUACUGACGCUCAUGCUCGAAAGCGUGGGGAUCAAACAGGAUUAGAUACCCUGGUAGUCCACGCCCUAAACGAUGGAUACUCGAUGUCGUGCCGCAAGGCUCGGUGUCUAAGCAAACGCAUUAAGUAUCCCACCUGGGAAGUACGAUCGCAAGGUUGAA
rnacentral:rRNA from 1 species